rnacentral:rRNA from 1 species
GUGGCGAACGGGUGAGUAACACGUGGGUAAUCUGCCCUGUACUCUGGGAUAAGCCUGGGAAACUGGGGCUAAUACCGGAUAUGACCUUUCCUCGCAUGGGGUUUGGUGGAAAGUUUUUUCGGUUGGGGAUGGGCUCGCGGCCUAUCAGUUUGUUGGUGAGGUAAUGGCUCACCAAGACGACGACGGGUAGCCGGCCUGAGAGGGCGACCGGCCACACUGGGACUGAGACACGGCCCAGACUCCUACGGGAGGCUGCAGUGGGGAAUAUUGCACAAUGGGGGAAACCCUGAUGCAGCGACGCAGCGUGCGGGAUGACGGCCUUCGGGUUGUAAACCGCUUUCAGCAGGGAAGAAGCGCAAGUGACGGUACCUGCAGAAGAAGUACCGGCUAACUACGUGCCAGCAGCCGCGGUAAUACGUAGGGUGCGAGCGUUGUCCGGAAUUAUUGGGCGUAAAGAGCUCGUAGGCGGUUUGUCGCGUCGGCUGUGAAAUCUGGAGGCUUAACCUUCAGCGUGCAGUCGAUACGGGCAGACUUGAGUUCGGCAGGGGAGACUGGAAUUCCUGGUGUAGCGGUGAAAUGCGCAGAUAUCAGGAGGAACACCGGUGGCGAAGGCGGGUCUCUGGGCCGAUACUGACGCUGAGGAGCGAAAGC